rnacentral:lncRNA from 1 species
CAAAUCAAAACUACCAUGAAAUAUUAUCUUGGUUAAAAAGGCUUUUAUAAAAAAGACAGGCAAUAACAAAUGCUGGUGAGGAUGUGAAGAAAAGGGAAUCUUUGUACACUGUUGGUGGGAAUGUAAAUUAAUACAAUCACUAUAGAGAAUAGUUCGGAGGUUCAUCAAAAAACUAAAAAUAGAACUACCAUAUGUUCCAGCAAUACCACUGCUAGGUAUACACCCAAAGGAAAGGAAAUCAGUAUAUCGAAAAGACAUCUGCGUUCCCACGUUUACUGCAGCACUAUUAACAAUAGCCAAGAUUUGUAAGUGAUCUAAAUGUCCAUAUAAUAAAUGAAAAAUAUACUUCAGGCUUAUCACCUUUUCAAAAUAAAAAAUCAAUGUGGGUGGAGUACAAAACUGAUAAUAUUUAAUACCUAUACAUAAAAUGCCUUUGGUGCUAUGUAUAUUGAUUGUAAUGUUUAUGAAACUGCCUUUGCAAAAUUAUAACAGCAAGAGAAAUGUGACAUAGUUGACCCCAUC